AAUGCGUCAUGCCUAAUGCAGUGGGAACAAGCAAGACCUGGCCUAGAGUUCCCAGACCUGGGCUCGCAGGGGGCUCCAGGAGGGGGCUGCUUAGCGGCUGAGGCGCGUGGGCCGUCUUCCUGGCAGCUACGUGCAAGAAGGAGGGGCAAAAGGAGGGAUGGACUCGAACACGAAAGGAUCCGGAGCGGUGGCUGCACCGAAGCGGGCAGGCCCUGUUUUGGAAGCUGACGGUAUGAUGGUGAAUAAGAGACACAAAGUCACUGUCCUCCUGGAGCUUGCACUUUACUGGGGAGGCUGGUGAUUCACUAGUGACAAGAAGAAAAUUUCAGAACGUGAACAAUUCUAUGAAGGAAAAAGCAAUGAAGAAUCAUGAGAUGGGAUGUGGAUGCUGGACACCGGCCAUGUGACCAUCGACUGGCAAAUGGAAAAUUCAUUGGUGUAUACUCAUUCAAUGGAAUAUGGUGCAGCAAUGAAAAAGAACAAAGUAUGGGGACUUCCUUGGUGGUCCAGUGGUAAAGAAUCCACCUUACAAUGCAGGGGAUGCAGGUUCCAUCCCUGGUGAGGGAACUAAGAUCCCACAUGCCACGGGGUAGCUAAGCCCGUGUGCCACAACUACUGAGCUUGGGCGCCUCAACUAGAGCCCGCGUGCCGCAAACUACAGAGCCCACGCACUCUGGAACCCAUGCGCCACAACUACAGAGCCCACAUGCCCUGGAGCCUGUGCACCACAACUACAGAAGAGAAAACCCACAUGCCACAACUAGAGAGAAGCCCGCGCACCACAAUGAAGAGCCCACACGCCACAACGAAAGAUCCCGCAUGCCUCAACGAAGAUCCUGCAUGCUGCAACUGAGACCCGACGCAGCCAAAAAGAAAAGAACAAGGUACGAACUCAUACACAGCCCUGGGCAUGAGGCACAUGACACAAAUAGGGUUCACUGCAUGAUCCCAUUCCCGUGACCCUCAAGGAUGGGCAGAAGUAAUCCGUGGAGUCGGGGGAGCCCAGUGUCUCCUAACUUUGGACCACUGACAUCUGGGGCUGGACGAUUCUUUGUUGUAGGGGGUCUAUCCUGUGCAUUGCAGGAUGUUGAGACGCAUCCCUGGCCUCUCCCCACUAGAUGCCAGUAGCAUGUGCUAGCUGAGAUAAAUGUCCCUUGUGGGACGGCGGACACAACCACCUUCAGGUGAGGAUCACUGGGAAAGUGAUAUUUUGAGGCAAGGCACUCACCCCAUAGUGGCCUUGGGGAGCUCUCGAGGGACUGGCAAAUUCUAUAUCUUAAGCUAUGGUGGUGAUCAGGGUGGAACAUAUUUUCAAAAUUCAGAACUGUAUUUUAGAAGUAUGUGCUUCACAAUAAAGGAGUGAACCCUA